CUCUCUCUCUCUGCCUCUCUCCCUCUCUCUCUGCCUCUCUCUGUCUCUCUCUGUCUCUCUGCCUCUCUCUCUCUCUCUCUCUGUCUCUAAUGUUUUUGACAUGGGGAGGUCUGUUUCUGAGAGCGGCUGUUAUUCAUUGAACUGUUAGUUACAAGACUGAACCCUCAUUAUAAACUUAUCUUUGAGAAGUGCCUGGUUGAGUUCCAUCGACACUCUCUUAGAAUUCACAAUUAGAACCUAAAGCAUUCCGGUUCCAUGGAGUCUCAAGUGUUUUCAAUGUUUGUUUAACAUUUAUCUAACCAUUUUUUAAGUUUGAAUCAUUCCUGUUGUGUUUUGAUAAACCCAUGUUUGUUCUAAUCCCAAACUACAGUAUAUUGUUGUCAACUGGACAUUUGCCAUUUUUUUUAGAAUUUUGAUGAAUAUUUUGUAAUGUACUAUAUAGUAUACGGUUAGUGUAAGACUCCCUCUCUCCAGCCCAACGCUGUCCAACAUGUUACUGCUGUUAUCUUCAUGGACAUUAUAAAGGAAUCCAUCAAAACUGUGAUGUAUAGAGGUGUGGAUACAAAUCAUUCCUGUAAAGACUAGUCCUCUGAAAGGAACUGUUUGAAUCAAUCUGUUGUUAUGGAUGUGUUCCAAAUGGAGCCCUAUUCAGUGUUGGGUCGUGUUCCAAAUGGAGCCCUAUUCAGUGUUGGGUCGUGUUCCAAAUGGAGCCCUAUUCAGUGUUGGGUCGUGUUCCAAAUGGAGCCCUAUUCAGUGUUGGGUCGUGUUCCAAAUGGAGCCCUAUUCAGUGUUGGGUCGUGUUCCAAAUGGAGCCCUUUUCAGUGUUGGGUCGUGUUCCAAAUGGAGCCCUUUUCAGUGUUGGGUCGUGUUCCAAAUGGAGCCCUAUUCAGUUGUUGGGUCGUGUUCCAAAUGGAGCCCUAUUCAGUGGUGGGUCGUGUUCCAAAUGGAGCCCUAUUCAGUGGUGGGUCGUGUUCCAAAUGGAGCCCUAUUCAGUGGUGGGUCGUGUUCCAAAUGGAGCCCUAUUCAGUGGUGGGUCGUGUUCCAAAUGGAGCCCUAUUCAGUGGUGGGUCGUGUUCCAAAUGGAGCCCUAUUCAGUGGUGGGUCGUGUUCCAAAUGGAGCCCUAUUCAGUGGUGGGUCUUGUUCCAAAUGGAGCCCUAUUCAGUGGUGGGUCUUGUUCCAAAUGGAGCCCUAUUCAGUGGUGGGUCGUGUUCCAAAUGGAGCCCUAUUGCCUUUAUAGUGCACUACCUUUGACUAUAUUUGGAACACAUCCACCACUGGGGCGGCAGGGUAGCCUAGUGGUUAGAGCGUUGGACUAGUAACCGAAAGGUUGCAAGUUCAAAUCCCUGAGCUGUCAUUCUGCCCCCGAACAGGAAAGUUAACCCACUGUUCCCAGGCCGUCAUUGAAAAUAAGAAUUUGUUCUUAACUGACUUGCCUAGUUAAAUAAAGGUAAAAUAAAUAAAAUAUUUCCACCGUGGUGUGUAGUCCUGGAUAAAGCGUCUCCAGCUGAACUAGGAUCAGGCUGGAAUGGACACGGCCCUGCUAAAUCUCAUAGUUGAUCCAUUUCUGGGGUUUUUACAUUUUUACUGUUCAACUGUCCUUGGUGUAUUGUGUGAAUAAAUUAGACUUUUUUUUAUUUGUCA